GGCAGCCCGGGUGUGGCUCUCUCCUGCAGA
rnacentral:sRNA from 1 species